rnacentral:lncRNA from 1 species
ACUUUUUUUUUUUUAUUACCAAUCAUAUCCUAAACUUGUUUAUGUUAGCUGUAAAUCAAAAUGUCGUAGAGAAAGGAACACCAUGAUCCUCCUCGAGAUAAUAUAUUCAAAGUUCCAGAUCCUCUUAGCUGUAUAGAAAACAUGGCCCAAACAUAUGGUAAUGUGAGCUCACCGUUAAUAAGGCAACAAAAUACACGAGUAUCUUCUAGUGCUACAUCUCAUGCUGAAGGUACACCUGAUAUUUCUUCUCAUCCUGAUAGUAUGGGUAAUAAAUUGAAGUAUGGGAUUUGGAUCAUUUUAAAAAAAAGUCUAUGAUGAUCAUGAUAUUGAAAUGAGUAAAUCAACAAGCUUAUGGUAUGAACAAAGAUAUUGUGCCUCGUUAAAGCAUGGUACAAUUGAGUUAUAGCGGCAUCUUAAGCAUACUUAUAAGAAUUUUAAAUACAAAAAGGAGUACAAAAUUGCAGUUGAGUAAGUGUGAGGAGGAUGAUUAUAACUUAGCAUAUUAGAAGUUUAACCAAGUAAUUGCUAGGAGGUCUAUGGUUAAGAUGAUAAUAAAGGAUAAGUUGCCCUUUAAGUUUGUGGAGAAGGAAGGGUUUAAGGAGUUUUGCUAAGAAGUUCAACCUAAAUUUCAAAUACAUUCUAGGUGGACAGUAGCUAGAGAUGUUUGUCAAAUUUUCUAUGAAGAGAAAAAUAAAUUACGUGCACUUAUAGAUUUUGAGUGCCAACUACCAUCAUUUACCACCGAUACUUGGACUAGUUGUCAAAACAUCUCUUAUGUUUAUUUGACAUGCUACUUUAUCCAUAAUAAUUGGACAAUGCGAAAGAGGAUUUUAAACUUUGUUCACUAAAAAAUUAUAAAGGUGUGCGUUUGGGUAAAUUGACUUUUACAUGGAUAAGUGGGGAUUUAAUAAGAUUAUGUGUAUUACCGUUGAUAAUGCAAUCAGUAAUGACACAGUAUUGCAAAAUUAAAAGAACCCUUAAGCAAACAAAUGUAUUUGUGUUGAAUGAUGAGGCUUUCCACAUGAGAUGUGUUGCACAUAUUUUACACUUGGCAUUAAACUUGAGAUCAAGAUUGUUGUCAUCAAAUAAUAAAGUGAGAGCUACAUGUAAAUAUGUGAGGAGUAGCCCGUGGAGAUUAGAUAACUUUAAAAAAUAUCAAAAAAGUGUCCAAGUAGAUUGUAAGGGUUCUGUGAUAUAAGAUUGUGAAACAAGGUGAAAUUCGACUUAUUUAAUGUUAGAGACAUUUCUACAAUUUAGAAAAAUAUUUGAGAGACUUGAAUUAUUAGACUUACCUAUAGGAAUGAAUUAGAUGGUUCUUUUUCUCUACAGAAUUAUUGGGAAAAAUGUUCAAAACUUAACUAGGUUUUUGAAAAAGUUUUAUGAUGUGACAUUAAAAAUAACUGGAUCAUUAUACUCUACUGCAAAUAUAUUUUUUCCUAAGCUUUGCAGUGUGUUAAAUGAGUUGCAAAAUUCUAUGGCUGGUGAUGAUGUGGAACUUGCAAAUAUGGCAAAGGAAAUGAAGGGAAAAUUUAACAAGUACUGGGAUCCAUUGGAUAAGAUGAAUGCGAUGUUAUUUAUACUUAUAAUAUUGGACCCUCAAUACAAGUUAAGGUACCUGAGGGUGAAGUAUCAAUGAUUUUUUAAUGAUGCUACAAUAGAUAAGUUAGUAGAAAGCAUAUUCAGAAAUCUAAAUUUAUUGAUUUCUGAGUAUGAGAAAGAAGAAAAUACUUGUGAAAGUUUUGAUAUAAGUAGCCAAGGAAAGAAUGAGAAAAGUAAUGCAAAUGACGUUAAGAUUGAUAAGUGAGGAAACUAGGAAUUAAAGUUAGGGAGAGCUAAAAAAAAUUUCAAGUAUUCUGAAGGGUGAAAUUAAAAAAUUUUUGUAUUCUAGGUGGGGUAAAAAUAAAAAAAUUCAACAUUUUGUGGGUGUUUCUUUAAAAAAAAAUUUAUUAGGGGCGAGGCCACCCACCCUUAGCGCCUGAUUCCGUUAGUGAGAUUGAUGAAUAUUUUUUUUGGAAUUAGAGAGAGAAUAAUUUGAAUAUGCAUUCAGAGUUGGAUAGAUACUUAAAUGAUCAACCUAAAAAUUUGCAAUAAAUUUUAAUUUGCUAUUAUAGUGGUUAAAAUUGCUAUUAUAGUGGGAGGUAAGUGGAUGCGAUAUUGUCACGACCCGAACCAUAGGUUGAAUCGACACUAGGGCCAAGGUAAGCUUAAAGACCUUGAGGACCGUAGUAAGCCUAAACCACAAAGUCCACUCAUGCCAAACGGAAUUCUAAGAAUGGUAAGCCCAUAUUAUUUUUUACAUAUAUAUCAAGUAAUCACACAUUCCUGACCCAAUCUCAAACAUCUCAAAUAAAAUAUAUUUUGGGCCUAUUUGUAAUAUGUCAUGUUCAUAAUAUAGGCUAUUGGUUCAUACAUGCUUUCAAUAAAUAAUUAAGACAUUUAUAAUAUUCAUAGAUUAGUAUAUCCAUUCUAAUACAAGAUCUGAGGUACCUAAAUCUUAUAAUUGCGGAGUUCAAUAUAGCUAGAAGUAGUGAAGUUUUUAUAUAUAACAAUACAUAAAUUAAUUAACUAUAGAAAUUAGAAAUUUACUUUUAUAGCCCUACGGAGAAGGUUUCAAAGCUUUUGCCAACUCGAUGGAAAUCAUACUUCCUAAAAAGUUUAAAUAAGAGAAGAGCGAGUUUUGCAACUUAGUAAAUAAUAAUAACGAAUGCAUACAUAGGCAUUCACGCAAAAUGCAACCUAAAACACUAACAUGAACACAAAACCACUCGAGCAUAUGGCACAAGAUCAGCACCCACAAGUAAUUACACCUUCAAGUAAUCAAACAAGUAGAAAUUAGUCAGUGACAUCACCGAAACCUCCGACGAGCCGUCCUCACACAUGACUCACCAUCUCCAACGUGUGCACCGGGGGCCAAUCCCCAUACAUGGCCCACCAGUCCAAUCCUCACUUGGCCAAACCUAUAAUUUUUUUAUACUCCACCUAGUGAUUUUCCAUAUCAUAUUUCAUCAGAUGCACACAGGGGCGUCGAUCUCCCUAUACAUAGCCGACGGUAUCAUAGACUAGCCUCACAAACCCGUAGUAACCCACUUCAUCUCAAUUCCACACACAAACAAGGCACAAUAAUGUCACAUCACAAGUAAUCAAACAAUUCAUUUAAUAUAAUGGAUCACAUUGAUAAUUAAUACGCCAACAUAUAAAUAUAACUAUGAUAUAAAUAAUUAUAUAAAUAUAAUCAUAUUUUAAUAAUAUCAUAAAAAUAGAUAAAAAUAAAAGCUAAGUUAUCAUAUAUAUAUUUAUAUAUCAUAAAAUAAAUAAUGUAUGUAUGCAAAUAAUAGCAUGCACUAUUUAUUAUUACUCUGAUAGAGAAUAGAAAAAGCUCUCUAACUCGGUUUUGACUUAGAGGAGCAGUAGACGGGCUUUGACGAUCUAAAGAAUUUAAGAACACAAGGAAAGAAUUGAAUCAGACAAAUGACUAAUUUAAAUCAACCCUGUUUAAAGAAUCACAAUAUCUGUAAAUAUCUUUAUCCACUAAGCUCUCUAUCUACUAAGCUCUCUUUCCACUUGUUUAAAGAAUCACAAUAUCUGUAAAUAUCUUUCAAUCACUACACAUAGCCCAUUCGUCGGGCAAUCAAUCAAAUUAUUUUCCCUUCCUCCAUCCAAAGUAUCAAAAUAAUUGUUUGACCAUCCAUACAAAACCUUAGCUUUUCUUAAUCCUUGCUUUCAACAUCAUAACAAGUUCGUUCGCUACUAAUACAUAAAUAUUCUUAGCUUUAUUAAGGUUAAACAAAUAAAUCAAUAAUUAUGGAAUUAGUUGAAAAUGAUUAUUUGUUUAAUCUCACAUCUGCUACUUUAAACUAUCCGAUCAUAUACCCAUAACAACCAUAUAAAAUUAUAGCUCACAUUUCCUUUACCAACAUUAACAAAGAUCUCGUAUAUCAACUUACUAAUCUGUGAAUCAUUAUCCUCACCAAGCAAGAUUAUUGGUAACAAACUUAUUUAAAUUAUCCAUUAAGCACAACUAAAUAUAUAUACGUCAACUAACAAAUUUCUAGCAGGAAUUGGAUUUAUAAUUUCUUUUUACCAUACCUUUUCCUUUUCAUUAAACAAAACUUAAACAAAAUGGCUACGUUAAUUGCUGCCAUGAUAAAAAUUCACAUUGUUACUCCAUUCUGAUCAUAAACCCCUUUAUUUUAACAACAACCAUGAGAAACAUAUUCCCAUUACCACAUAUGAACUUAAUUCAGUCAAUAAUUAUAAUUUCUCUAACUAAAAGUUGCUGUCAUUCAUCCAAUACUUAGCUUCUAAAAGUUACUAUAAUCCUACCAAAACACUUACUAAAAUAUGCUUUAAUUAUAGGUAGGAAGAAAAUUAAUUUAAUUCUUCCAUAAUGUUUGUAUGAACAGUAGCUUCUAGGGAUUUAUUCUUACAUUAAAUCGAUUUACACAUCAAAUCCUAUACCCUAGAUCAAAGAAUUUAUAACAUGUGCCAAAGAAAGUUGGAAAUCAGCUUACCCAGCAGUAAAAUGCACCAGAAAGUAAAAUUUUCCGGUUAAUUCAUCGGAAAAACGUUGCUCUCCGUUAAAAACUCUCUUUCUUAUUGCUGCACCACAGCCAAACCGGAAAAGGAGAAGGGAAGAAGUCGGAGGAGGAUCGGUGAUGAAGUGAAUGGCCUAGACCAGCCGGUCCUUGGCUGAUUUUGCCGAAAAAGUGAUGGGAACGCUGAAGGAGGCAGCGUCGAUCAGACAAGCACAACUCGCAGAUCCCCUCACUGCACUAAACCAGACUGAGACAGGAUAAAGAGAGUCCGGAGAGACGUCGUCGUCGAGAGAGAGACUGGAGUCGCUGGAAAGUUGAGGAGCAGGAGCCGCGAUUUCCCGUUCGUGUCUCCUGCGGUUACUGCGCUCUCAAGAACGAAAGGAGGGAGAGAAAAAGAGACCGGAGCUGUGGUGAGGCAGUCACGUGGCAAGGAGGCAAUGGCAGUGAGGCGGACCGGCGCUAGCUUCAAACGAUCCGAAAACGAAAAGGGGAGGGGGAAGGGGCUGAGGUCGCGAUCAAAGUGAAAGGGGAGAAAAUUGUUUAGAGAUAAAACAGUAAAUUAUGUUUCCAGGGCCUUCUAGACAGGUUUUGGUUCGAUUUGAGUUCGGUUUGGCUCAAAUCAUGGGUCUUUGCUUGGUUCUCCUUUGGUUUAUAGGUUUCUAUUGAUUUGAUUUAAUUCUUAGGUUUGGUUUCUAUAUAUAAAAUAAUAUUUGUAUUAAAUUUUAUCAAAUAAUUUCUCAAAGUAAAAAUAUAUUCAUUUUUAAAAAAAUGAAAUGCCCUUUUGUCCCAAUUAUUAAAUUUA